rnacentral:rRNA from 1 species
GACGAACGCUGGCGGCGUGCUUAACACAUGCAAGUCGAACGGAAAGGCCCCCUUGUGGGGUACUCGAGUGGCGAACGGGUGAGUAACACGUGAGUAACCUACCCUUGACUUUGGGAUAACUUCAGGAAACUGGGGCUAAUACCGGAUAGGAGCUCCUGCUGCAUGGUGGGGGUUGGAAAGUUUCGGCGGUUGGGGAUGGACUCGCGGCUUAUCAGCUUGUUGGUGGGGUAGUGGCUCACCAAGGCUUUGACGGGUAGCCGGCCUGAGAGGGUGACCGGCCACAUUGGGACUGAGAUACGGCCCAGACUGAUACGGGAGGCAGCAGUGGGGAAUAUUGCAAAAUGGGCGGAAGCCUGAUGCAGCAACGCCGCGUGCGGGAUGACGGCCUUCGGGUUGUAAACCGCUUUCGCCUGUGACGAAGCGUGAGUGACGGUAAUGGGUAAAGAAGCACCGGCUAACUACGUG